rnacentral:rRNA from 1 species
GCUGGCGGCGCGCCUAACACAUGCAGUCGAACGGAAUGCGGAGAGGAUUUAUCUUUUCUGUGUUUAGUGGCGAACGGGUGAGUAACGCGUGAGGAACCUGCCUCAAAGAGGGGGACAACAGUUGGAAACGACUGCUAAUACCGCAUAAGCCCACGGGGCCGCAUGGCCCAGAGGGAAAAGGAGCAAUCCGCUUUGAGAUGGCCUCGCGUCCGAUUAGCUGGUUGGUGAGGUAACGGCCCACCAAGGCGACGAUCGGUAGCCGGACUGAGAGGUUGAACGGCCACAUUGGGACUGAGACACGGCCCAGACUCCUACGGGAGGCAGCAGUGGGGAAUAUUGCACAAUGGGGGAAACCCUGAUGCAGCGACGCCGCGUGGAGGAAGAAGGUCUUCGGAUUGUAAACUCCUGUUGUUGGGGAAAAGAAGGAUGGUACCCAACAAGGAAGUGACGGCUAACUACGUGCCAGCAGCCGCGGUAAAACGUAGGUCACGAGCGUUGUCCGGAAUUACUGGGUGUAAAGGGAGCGCAGGCGGGUAUGCAAGUUGGGAGUGAAAUACAUGGGCUCAACCCAUGAACUGCUCUCAAAACUGUGUAUCUUGAGUAGUGCAGAGGUAGGCGGAAUUCCCGGUGUAGCGGUGGAAUGCGUAGAUAUCGGGAGGAACACCAGUGGCGAAGGCGGCCUACUGGGCACCAACUGACGCUGAGGCUCGAAAGUGUGGGUAGCAAACAGGAUUAGAUACCCUGGUAGUCCACACCGUAAACGAUGAUCACUAGGUGUUGGAGGAUAGACCCCUUCAGUGCCGCAGUUAACACAAUAAGUGAUCCACCUGGGGAGUACGACCGCAAGGUUGAAACUCAAAGGAAUUGACGGGGGCCCGCACAAGCAGUGNAGUAUGUGGUUUAAUUCGACGCAACGCGAAGAACCUUACCAAGUCUUGACAUCCUCUGGCGGUACAGAAAUGUGCUUUUCCUUCGGGACAGAGAGACAGGUGGUGCAUGGGUUGUCGUCAGCUCGUGUCG